AUCCAGUCCAGGUGAAGUCAAACCAAGAAACAGCUCCGUGUCGGAUCUCAGCCUCACACGCCCUCAGCCAGUGUCCUCCCACCGCAUGAGGACGAUCCGCAGGAGCAGCCACGGGAUGAAGUCAGUGAUGAGCUUCGGGAGGUGCAGCGUCUCAUUCCGGGGUCAGGAGGGUCUGAGCCUCCUGCUGUCGGAGGAAACGUGUCGUGUGCGGUCACUGAAAGCACAGAGCGUGAAUUUGGAGCAAUCAGAGAAACGCAGGAGUUCAGACGGUGUGAGGCUCCGGACGUCAGAACCACGGUGAUGCAAAAAAACUCUGAUGAGAUUCUAAUGGGACUGACGAGGAGAUAAUAACCUCACAACACGUGGACGACAUCAUCUGUUAAACUUAAACUUGUCAUCAGUGAUUUUCUGUCACUUCGUAUUGUUUGUGUGCAGAGUUUUACAGAAACAGUCUGUGGUGCGGAGGGACGUUAGAAAACGUUGUGUUCAUCCUA